rnacentral:lncRNA from 1 species
UGAGAUCUGAAACAUACGAGCAGGGGGUAAUGUUGGCAUGCAUGAGAGCUACCCAAUACUGAUUCACAGGGGUGAGGAGAGAACGUUUAAUAUGAAGAGGUUUGCCAUUGUGGUUACGUUGGAAGUGCCCCUCCGGAACACAAAGAACACGCUCUACAUCCUCAAUCGUAUAAUUGCUAACUAAUUUAAGCUAAAGAAUGAUUCCAUUUUAGUGUGAGAUUGUACAAUGAAAGUAAAAGUCAUGCAUAAGUAAAAGUNNN